ACGUGGCGUGAGUUAUGAAUGUGACCUGAUCGGAUCUUUAAUAAAUCGGGUAGCGGCGGCUGCCAGUCCAGAUGAGCUCAGCGUGGCGAGAGAAAAAUUGGAGUCGCCGUCGGACUCAAGCGACCGCACGGGCCCCUCAGCCUCGACAGAAUCAAAGGAGGCGCGUCAGGUGUCCAUGGGACGAGGCGCUGAAGCCGCGACGCCGUUCGUUAGCGAGCCAGAACAGCAGCGAGCGCUUUGGUGGGGCUUUAACGGUAUAAUCAGAGGAGUUUAUCCAAUUUCAAGCUGUCCACAAAGAGUUCCUUUUAAAUCUCUUUUCGACGGUUUCGCUGAUCAUUGAGUCUUGGACGGCACACGUGAGGUGGAGAAAAAGACUGAUAAGCAGAAACCCGCGCAGCGAUGAACAUCCCUAAUGAGGUUUCGGCCCAGUGUGUGUGAGCUGGCGCUCUACUCCCACAUACGAAAACCCAAGAAAAGAAAAUGCUUGAAGCAACAUUCUCUGGUGCAACAUUUCAUCAGAUCUCACUGAAAAUCCCGCCGAGGUUCUGCUGAGGAUAACCGACAUUUUAGCUCCAAAAACAUGGCGUCGGCCGUCUUUUUGCUGCAAGGUUGGCGAAGCAGCAGCAGAUGCAACCUUGGGGAGCUCAGCGAUGCAAGUAACUCUGGGAAAAAGUUUCCGCAGUCACUCCUCUGGUGCGUCAGCAUCAUCGGCAGUAACCAUCCUCCUCUCUCCUGUCAGUUAAAGAAAAAAAUGCAGACGUCAGAUGUGUCGGUCAGGUACGUGCACUGUGGGCAUCAGAGGAGACUUUAAUCAUGAGGUGUGAAGGGAGGAAGACCAGAGAAGCCUUGAAUGGAUCCAUUGUUUGCCUCUGGAUCGGCGGGAUAAAUAAACAACGGGAUGACAGCUGCAGGUAAUCAUUGUUUUUUUAUGCUCUCCUUUCACCCCCUGGAUCCGUCUCCCUCUCUGGCUCGAUAUACAAACCAAGAGGAGAAGCUUUGGGAAAACUCAGCCUUCACUUCACCUAUUGAAGAAAAACCUCACGAUGGCUUUAUUGCAGGCUUUAAAUUAAUCCCCAAAUGUCGUAUAAAUCCAGUCGGGUACUUGAGGUUGAUUUUCUCACCAUCCUGACAGGUUCCGUUUAAAAGUAAACUUUAUUUUUUUUGUCAGUUUAAAAAGGGGAAAGCAAAAGUAAUGGUGAGUCGGUUCUGUGUCUGCUGAGACAGCACUGGUUGCACAGGUUAGAAUGGUGACUAGUGGACUUCACAUUCCGGUGGGAUGUAAACAGACGUCACUUCCUGGAGGACCACAUGAGUCGUCCAAACCCGUCACGUCCACCUGGGAUAUAUACACAGCAAUUCCUGCAUCGAUUUGGCUCUCAAGUCUUCAAUAAAUAGCAGAGUUUGCUCUGCUGUUUUGGACUUAACUCUGUCUCAGGAGCAUCAAUAUUCUUGGAGCUGAAACUUCUUUAAUCUGUGGACAGCGUGAGAGGGGCGUGCGGGGAGGUGAGAGGAAAACAAAUCCAUCCCAUUAAUCACGACAGCUGAUUGUGGUCCGCAGCGUGAGCAUCUUAAAUUGCUUUGCCGUGUCAGCGGCUCUCAUUAACAUUUCUCCCUCCUCCUGCUUCUAUCUAACCUUCCUUCUGUUUCUGAUUUUAAAAUUAGCAGUGACAGCGAGGCCUUCCAGUACAAAAACCCG
rnacentral:lncRNA from 1 species